UACGAAGGGGGCUAGCGUUGCUCGGAAUCACUGGGCGUAAAGCGCACGUAGGCGGCUUUCUAAGUCAGGGGUGAAAUCCUGGAGCUCAACUCCAGAACUGCCUUUGAUACUGGAGAGCUUGAGUACGAGAGAGGUGAGUGGAAUUCCCAGUGUAGAGGUGAAAUUCGUAGAUAUUGGGAAGAACACCGGUGGCGAAGGCGGCUCACUGGCUCGUAACUGACGCUCAGGCGCGAUAGCGUGGGGAUCAAACAGG
rnacentral:rRNA from 1 species